CUAAGAAUAUUCCGCAAUGGACGGAAGUCUGACGGAGCGACGCCGCGUGGAUGAAGAAGGCCGAAAGGUUGUAAAGUUCUUUUGCUGGGGAAGAAUAACCGCAGGAGGGAAUGCCUGUGGGAUGACAAGAACCGGCGAAUAAGCCCCGGCCAACUACGUGCCAGCAGCCGCGGUAACACGUAGGGGGCGAGCGUUGUUCGGAAUUACUGGGCGUAAAGGGCAUGUAGGCGGCUUGGAAAGCCUGGCGUGAAAGUCUGCAGCUUAACUGCAGGGGUGCGCUGGGAACUGCUGAGCUUGAGUGACGGAGAGGGAGCUGGAAUUCCUGGUGUAGGGGUGAAAGCUGUAGAUAUCAGGAAGAACACCGAUGGCGAAGGCAAGCUCCUGGCCGAUGACUGACGCUGAGGUGCGAAAGUGUGGGGAUCAAACA
rnacentral:rRNA from 1 species